rnacentral:rRNA from 1 species
GAACCGGGGCGGCUGCUUACACAUGCAAGUCGAACGAUGAACCACUUCGGUGGGGAUUAGUGGCGAACGGGUGAGUAACACGUGGGCAAUCUGCCCUGCACUCUGGGACAAGCCCUGGAAACGGGGUCUAAUACCGGAUAUUGACCUUCACGGGCAUCUGUGAGGUUCGAAAGCUCCGGCGGUGCAGGAUGAGCCCGCGGCCUAUCAGCUUGUUGGUGAGGUAAUGGCUCACCAAGGCGACGACGGGUAGCCGGCCUGAGAGGGCGACCGGCCACACUGGGACUGAGACACGGCCCAGACUCCUACGGGAGGCAGCAGUGGGGAAUAUUGCACAAUGGGCGAAAGCCUGAUGCAGCGACGCCGCGUGAGGGAUGACGGCCUUCGGGUUGUAAACCUCUUUCAGCAGGGAAGAAGCGAAAGUGACGGUACCUGCAGAAGAAGCGCCGGCUAACUACGUGCCAGCAGCCGCGGUAAUACGUAGGGCGCAAGCGUUGUCCGGAAUUAUUGGGCGUAAAGAGCUCGUAGGCGGCUUGUCACGUCGGUUGUGAAAGCCCGGGGCUUAACCCCGGGUCUGCAGUCGAUACGGGCAGGCUAGAGUUCGGUAGGGGAGAUCGGAAUUCCUGGUGUAGCGGUGAAAUGCGCAGAUAUCAGGAGGAACACCGGUGGCGAAGGCGGAUCUCUGGGCCGAUACUGACGCUGAGGAGCGAAAGCGUGGGGAGCGAACAGGAUUAGAUACCCUGGUAGUCCACGCCGUAAACGGUGGGCACUAGGUGUGGGCAACAUUCCACGUUGUCCGUGCCGCAGCUAACGCAUUAAGUGCCCCGCCUGGGGAGUACGGCCGCAAGGCUAAAACUCAAAGGAAAUUGACGGGGGCCCGCACAAGCGGCGGGAGCAUGUGGCUUAAUUCGACGCAACGCGAAGAACCC